rnacentral:rRNA from 1 species
GGCGAACGCUGGCGGCGUGCUUAACACAUGCAAGUCGAACGGUGAAAGCGGAGCUUGCUCCGCUGGAUCAGUGGCGAACGGGUGAGUAACACGUGGGCAACCUGCCCCUGACUUCGGGAUAACUCCUCGAAAGAGGUGCUAAUACCGGAUACGAAUCCUGCAGGCAUCUGCGGGAUUGGAAAGUUUUUCGGUCAGGGAUGGGCCCGCGGCCUAUCAGCUUGUUGGUGAGGUAGGGGCGCGCCAAGGCGACGACGGGUAGCCGGCCUGAGAGGGGGAGCGGCCACACUGGGACGGGGACGCGGCCCAGACUACGACGGGAGGCAGCAGUGGGGAAUAGUGCGCAAUGGGCUAAAGCCAAACGCAGCAACGCCGCGUGGGGGGUGACGGGCUUCGGGUUGUAAACCUCUUUCAGCAGGGAAGAAGCGAAAGUGACGGUACCUGCAGAAGAAGCCCCGGCUAACUACGUGCCAGCCGCCGCCGUAA